rnacentral:hammerhead_ribozyme from 1 species
AUCCAACUGACGAGUCCCAGGUGAGACGAAACGCGCGUCCUGGAU